GUAGGUGAACCUGCGGAAGGAUCAUUACAGAUUCAGAAUAGGAGCCAGCAGUGCGCCGGCCCACCCGUCAGGGGGGGCCGGCGUUGCUCUGGCUAAGUGAGCAUAUGCUUGGGCUUCAUUUUUGUUCAUACGAACGUGAAGAAACAGGCAGUUGUACGAGCCUUCGAGGUCUCGGCAGCUGGUAUUGCGGUCAAAUUCCAUGUAGACGGAGCAUAGAUAGCUAACCCCUUCGUUCGUAGUCGGAAAUCCC
rnacentral:misc_RNA from 1 species